CGGAAGGGAGCAACGGAUUCUCUUGCCGUUUUCUCCCAACGUUGCUGCCUGCUUCUGCAAACUCCGCCGAGCCCGGUCUGUUUCGGGGGCAUCCAGAUCUAGUUAAAGUGGAUCCAAACUGCAUUGCUUCUCCAGGAGGUUGCGGAGAAAGGAGCAAGGGGUGUGUGUGUGAAAGUGAGACCAAGCCAAAGCCAUCUGUCCCUUGGCUAAUUGUCCUUAAUGACGGUCUCUGGUCUCCAAACAGGAAGACCGGGCAGGAAAUAGCACGCUUCCUUUGGGAAGUCUGGAGCCAGGGUUUUGGGUGCGGGGACGAAAAUGAGAAGCACCGGGAGAGCAAUGGCUUCAAAUGGCAGGAAAAUAUUAGGAGGAAUGUCUUGAUGGUCAGAGAUGUUUCUUCUUCGGGGUGCCGCCGAACCUCCUUCUCUGGAUGGCCAUCCGUCGGGAGGGCUUUAAUGGAUGAAACAUCGGUGAGCAGCGAGGAUUUUGAUAUGAGCGACUCCACAUGGAUGUCAGCUGACCAGCAUCUCAACUCCAGUUUGAGCCCCAGCCAGGCGGAAGGCAUGCGGAGCCCGCAGAACAUCCACAGCCAGGAAGACGGUGAGUGUUAUGCGGGGAAACUUGUAGUUUAAAGCAGGCAGAGGCCAACUUCAACCCUCCAGGUGUUUUGGACUCCAACUCCCAUAAUUCCUAACAGCCGGUAGGUGACCCGUGCCUGCAACUACACUGUGUAGCAAAGUAAAAUUCACAGUGCUUUCUGGAUGUAGGUGAACUAUAAAUCCCAGCAGCUACAAUUCCCAAAUGUCAAGGUCUAUUUUCCCCAAACUCCACCAGUGUUCACAUUUGGGCAUAUUGAGUCUUCGUGCCAAGUUUGGUCCAGAUCCAUCAUUGUUUGAUUCGAACCUGCAACCUUUUGGUCUGCAAGUUCAGCAGUUCAACGCUUCAACACACUGCGCCACCGGGGAUAUCUAUAUCCCAUUUUUACCUCUUGCAUGAGACACAUG
rnacentral:lncRNA from 11 species